rnacentral:rRNA from 1 species
CACCGCCCGUCACACCAUGAGAGUUGGUUAUACCAGAAGUCGUCACGCUAACUUCGGAGGCAGACGCCCAAGGUAUGAUCGAUGAUUGGGGUG